AAUGAACGUUGGCGGCAUGGAUUAGGCAUGCAAGUCGAGCGGGCGUAGCAAUACGUCAGCGGCGUAAGGGACAGGAACACGUAGAUUACCUGCCCUCAGGUCUGGGAUAGCCACGGGAAACUGUGGGUAAUACCAGAUGAUAUCUCCGGAUCAAAGGUGUGAUUCCGCCCGAGGAUGGGUCUGCGUCCUUUUAGCUAGUUGGCGAGGUAAUGGCUCACCAAGGCGAUGAUGGGUAGCAGGUGUGAGAGCACGACCUGCGUCAUUGGGACUGAGACACGGCCCAGACACCUACGGGUGGCUGCAGUCGAGAAUUUUUGGCAAUGGGCGAAAGCCUGACCAAGCGAUGCCGCGUGCGGGAUGAAGGCCUUCGGGUUGUAAACCGCUGUCAGUGGGGAGGAAAGCUUUGCGAAGAGCAAGGCUUGACCUAUCCGCAGAGGAAGUGUGGGCUAAGUUCGUGCCAGCCGCCGCCGUAA
rnacentral:rRNA from 1 species